UCGUAACCCAAACUCAUCCUCUUCAUAAAGAUUCAUAAACAUGCAUUCAAAAAUGUCAAAAAAAACCCUCUGAAUUCCAUUCAUGUUACCAGAGAAAUAUAAAAAAAAAACAAGAAAAAAAAUGAGUUGGCAGAUUGUGAGGGUAAUCACAUUGAUUCUCCUAACGUUCUUUGCAUCAAGAACAUCCGCUGCCAGGCUCCAUGAGUAUGAAUACCCUAUCACAAAAAUGGAAGAGAUUCAGAAACAACACAUUGAAGAAACCAAGAUCCAGGUUAGACGCAGUCGUUCACGGCAUGGUGGUGCUCGAGCCAAAAGACCAGGACCACCACCACCGCAUGGUCGAGGGGCAAAAAGACAAGCACCGCCACCAGAGUAUGGUCAAGGGGCAAGAUACCCGCCGCCACCCCCACCCCCACCAUGCGUCGGGUGAAAAAGCUCAGCACUUCAUGGAGGAGUGGAACUCAGAAGAAGGGUUCGUAAAUUAGGCAUAUCCUUAAUUAAUGUAAGGUCGUAUUGAGCAUGAUCUGUGGAGAUGAAUAACUCAUAAGACACGUUUGCAAGAAGAAACUUUUGCUUUGGAAACAUGAAUUAGAAAGUUACCUGGUUGGUGAA